rnacentral:sRNA from 1 species
AGUUGACAUUAGCACAGCUCUUCCAUUAGGAGAACGAAGUGAAACUCCUGGUAGAACGGAUGAUGGCUCUACAGACCGACAUCGUAGACUUACAGCGGAGCCCCAUGGGCCGGAAGCAGGGGGGAACGCUGGACGACCUGUGAGUACUGGCUGGGGGGCCCCUCUGUGCCCAGCACACACAGACACCCCUGGAGCUUCCGUGUGUGUGUCAAGGGCACCCUCAGUGGCUGUGCGGGACCAUUCUCUAGAGCAUGCUUCCCUGUGGGGUCACUUCCAGCAAAUCAUCACUGAGCCUCAGUUUUGAAAUCUGUUCAGUGGCAAGAAAAACCGUCUUAACUCACGAAGUUGUGAGGAUGAAUUCAGAUAACGCAUUUGAGACGCAGGCCAUAAUCCGUGAAGGCUGUAAAAUGCAAGCAGCCUCUACCCCUGUAUCAGACUCCCCUGAUUUGUCCCACCCACCCUGACCCAGGCAUAGCUCAGAGCAGAAAGUAAGACAGAGAAGGAAGAACCUGAUGAGGCUUAGGAGUUCGGACCUGGAAACCGUUCGUUUGAGUCUUUGUCAGGUAUUUGGCAUUGGCUCCAGGAGGGGCGGAGGGGUCUAGGGCAGAUCACUCCUACCUGAAGGAGAUGACAUGUGCUCCUGGCGUGCAGAUGGAGGGAACCAGGCAGGCCAGGUCAGCCGCUCGAGGGCUUGUGUCACCGUGAGCUCAGCAGUGUUCCCUGAUUCUCUCACUAGGAUUCUUAGGACAGGAGCUCCGAAUGUCAGAACUUUGAUUCUGUAUUUUCUCUAAUUAACCCUUUAUUCUCCUCUAGUUCUUUUAUUUGUAUUUGCAUUAUUUUUUUAAGAGACAGGGUCUUGCCCUGUUGCCCAGGCUGGAGUGCAGUGGCACAAUCAUAGCUCACGGCAGCCUCGACCUCCCGGGCUCAUGCAGUCCUCCCACCUCAGCCUCCCAAGUAACUGGGACUACAGGCGCAUGCCACCAUGCUCAGCUAAUUUUAAAAAAAUGCUUUUGGCUGGGCACAGUGGCUCACACCUGUAAUCCCAGCACCUUGGGAUGCCAAGGCAAGAAGAUUGCUUGUGAGCCCAGAAGUUCGAGACCAGCCUGGGCAACAUGGUGAAACUCUACCUCUACCAAAAAAAUAUAAAAAUUAGCCUUAUUUGACCUCAAGUCUAGACAGAACUUCUUUGUAUAUUUUAGAGAGGAGCAAGCAAGGGAGCUGUACAGGAGACUAAGGGAAAAACCUCGAGACCAGCGAACUGAGGGUGACAGUCAGGAAAUGGUACGGCUGCUGCUUCAGGCAAUUCAGAGCUUCGAGAAGAAAGUGCGAGUGAUCUAUACGCAGCUCAGUAAAACUGUGGUUUGCAAGCAGAAGGCACUGGAACUGUUGCCCAAGGUGGAAGAGUUGGUGAGCUUAAUGAAUGAGGAUGAGAAGACUGUUGUCCGGCUGCAGGAGAAGCGGCAGAAGGAACUCUGGAAUCUCCUGAAGAUUGCUUGUAGCAAGGUCCGUGGUCCUGUCAGUGGAAGCCCGGAUAGCAUGAAUGCCUCUCGACUUAGCCAGCCUGGGCAGCUGAUGUCUCAGCCCUCCACGGCCUCCAACAGCUUACCUGAGCCAGCCAAGAAGAGUGAAGAACUGGUGGCUGAAGCACAUAACCUCUGCACCCUGCUAGAAAAUGCCAUACAGGACACCGUGAGGGAACAACACCAGAGUUUCACGGCCCUAGACUGGAGCUGGUUACAGACGGAAGAAGAAGAGCACAGCUGCCUGGAGCAGGCCUCAUGAUGUGGGGGGACUCGACCCCCUGACAUGGGGCAGCCCAUAGCAGGCCUUGUGCGGUGGGGGGACUCGACCCCCUGACAUGGGGCUGCCUGGAGCAGGCCGCGUGAUGCGGGGCUGCCUGGCCGCGGCUCUCACAUGGCGGUUCCUGCCGCACUGAUGGCCCAGUGGUCUCUGGUAUCCAGAUGGAGCUCUCGCUUCCUCAGCAGCUGUGACUUUCACCCAGGACCCAGGGCGCAGCCCUCUGUGGGCACUGCCGGCGCCUUGUCUGCACACUGGAGGUCCUCCAUUACAGAGGCCCAGCGCACAAUGCCGGCCCCACGAGUGUUCAGGGGUACAGCCACGGCAGCCCCUUCCUCUGCCAUGAGAAAAGUGCUUGGAGUACGGUUUGCCACACACGUGACUGGACAGUGUCCAAUUCAAAUCUUUCAGGGCAGAGUCCGAGCAGCGCUUGGUGCCAGUCCUCUCCUGCUCUCCAACGGCCCUGCUCCCUGUCCUCUCUCACUUUACAGCUUGUGUUUCUUCUGGAUUCAGCUUCUCCUAAACAGACAGUUUAAUUACAGUUGCGGCCUGGCCCCAUCCUCACUUCCUCUUUUUAUUUCACUGCUGCUAAAAUUGUGUUUUUACCUACU